rnacentral:rRNA from 1 species
AUGGAAGUGCUGGAGGAGCAGAUCCGAUGGGCUUUGGUGGUGCAGCGCAGCGCGGAAACAACACAGGCCAUCGUGGACCUGUGUGGACUGAUGAGCGGGGAGUCUGCCGGUUAUAUUGCUUACUACGCUGACAACUUCAAUGGUACACGUCUGGAGCACGAUGUGCCACAGGUUGGUCUGCCGGCCAGGAGGAGGAGGAUGUUGUACGAGACUAUGGUGGCCAAAGGAAAUUCUGCUCCUCGUCAAGGAAUCAUGGAGCAAGUGACAAUGGAAGAGUAG